rnacentral:rRNA from 1 species
ACAAGCAGUGGAGUAUGUGGUUUAAUUCGAAGCAACGCGAAGAACCUUUACCAGGGCUUGACAUCCCUUGAAGCAGCUAGAGAUAGCUGUGCCUUCGGGACAAGGAGACAGGUGGUGCAUGGUUGUCGUCAGCUCGUGUCGUGAGAUGUUGGGUUAAGUCCCGCAACGAGCGCAACCCCUGUGGUUAGUUGCCAGCAAGUAGCGUUGGGCACUCUAGCCAGACUGCCGGUGAUAAAUCGGAGGAAGGUGGGGACGACGUCAAAUCAUCAUGCCCUUUAUGUCCUGGGCUACACACGUACUACAAUGGCCGUUACAACGGGAAGCGAAGGAGCAAUCCGGAGCAAAUCCCUUAAAGGCGGUCCCAGUUCAGAUUGUGGGCUGAAACUCGCCCACAUGAAGGCGGAAUUGCUAGUAAUUGCAGAUCAGCAUGCUGCAGUGAAUACGUUCCCGGGCCUU